AGAUCCUGGGCGUGGUGAUGCACACAUGUAAUCCCAGCACUUGGGAGGCUGAGGCAGGAGAAUUGCCACAAGUUCAAGGCCAGCCUGGACUACACAGCGAGACCCCGUCUCAAGAGAAAAAAAAGGUCUUAUGCAGCAUAACUUUGUUAGAUGACUCUGCUAACAAAGUGUCUGUCACUUAUCAUCUGACCAAACCUGUCUUUUAGAUCCUGGACUGACUUGGAGCCUGCAGACAGGGUGGAAUUUGAGCCCUUCUCCAUGGUGCCCAGACCUCAGGCUGUCACCGGGGGGGAACCUGCUCACCAAUGGCAGCACCCUCAAGGACACAGGCCACCUUUGAAGUGUGAGCUUCUGGUUUGGGAAGUUCAAGUGCUGGCUCAUUGUUUUCUGGAGAGGAGGAAGAUGGCGCCUUCGAAUUCCGACCGCUCCACCUGCUGGCCACGCCCUCCUCUCCUCCUGAGGCCGGAGCCCAGACGCAAUGUAGAAAUAAGAGAAUCGCCAGAGCCUUGGAAAAAUAAGCUGUGGCAAGAGCUCAGAGACGCGAAUUCCGGCUGGGCUUGUCUCUGGGCGGCCUCCUUCCGCGGGGAGAGUCUGCACCAAAAAAAGAAAUGGUUUCCAGGAUGGUUGUCCAGGCUGCCAACCCAGCAACCACAAGGAGGUUUACCUUAA
rnacentral:lncRNA from 1 species